CCUACGGGUGGCAGCAGUGGGGAAUAUUGGACAAUGGGCGAAAGCCUGAUCCAGCCAUGCCGCGUGUGUGAAGAAGGCCUUCGGGUUGUAAAGCACUUUCAGUGGGGAAGAAAGCCUUGGGGCUAAUACCCUCGAGGAAGGACAUCACCCACAGAAGAAGCACCGGCUAACUCCGUGCCAGCAGCCGCGGUAAUACGGAGGGUGCGAGCGUUAAUCGGAAUUACUGGGAGUAAAGCGCGCGUAGGCGGUCUGAUAAGCCGGUUGUGAAAGCCCCGGGCUCAACCUGGGAACGGCAUCCGGAACUGUCAGGCUAGAGUGCAGGAGAGGAAGGUAGAAUUCCCGGUGUAGCGGUGAAAUGCGUAGAGAUCGGGAGGAAUACCAGUGGCGAAGGCGGCCUUCUGGACUGACACUGACGCUGAGGUGCGAAAGCGUGGGUAGCAAACAGGAUUAGAUACCCUGGUAGUC
rnacentral:rRNA from 1 species